rnacentral:rRNA from 1 species
GUGUACGUACAAGCAGUGGGAGCACCUUCGGGUGUGACUGCGUACCUUUUGUAUAAUGGGUCAGCGACUUAUAUUCUGUAGCUAGGUUAACCGUAUAGGGGAGCCGCAGGGAAACCGAGUCUUAACUGGGCGUUAAGUUGCAGGGUAUAGACCCGAAACCCGGUGAUCUAGCCAUGGGCAGGUUGAAGGUUGGGUAACACUAACUGGAGGACCGAACCGACUAAUGUUGAAUAAUUAGCGGAUGACUUGUGGCUGGGGGUGAAAGGCCAAUCAAACCGGGAGAUAGCUGGUUCUCCCCGAAAGCUUUUUAGGUAG